CAAUCUUCUGGUGCUGGUUUUCUUUUUGCAAGUACAAAACAAAAUAAUAAAAUACCCAACAUUUAUAAAGACUUUGAAAAUAACCAGAAAUGGACAAGAGUGCAAGACAUCUUUUACCAAAGGUAAACUAACAAUUCACAGAAACCUAUGCAUUAGCUGCAUAAUUUCAGUGCAGAAAGCUAAGAGUGGACCUAGCAAAAAAGAAGUCUGACCAGCUGAGCUACGAGACCACCUUCUGCAGAAGAACUCUGCUCCCAAAUAUAAAUCAGGUAAAAUUCCUAAAAACUGGCAACUCCUUUCACAGAGGCUCAAAUAGGAUGGACAGAGAAGGUUGUUGGUGUCGGUAAGAAAAAAAUGAGUGAAGUUGCAUCAUCUGAAUAAUUAAAAUCAUUGUGUGAAUUUUGAUUUCCCCCCACCGUCCUUUCAGACAUUUGAGGAUGCUGUCAAGUCAAUGGAGUUCUGUUGUAGUGGUUGCUUCAGUGAACAUUCAACGCUGUCGGUGAGUUUGGAAUUAAAGUGAAAACCAUCGACCGUUGAUUGUACCCUCCAGCUAACCAUCCUCCUCCUUACUUCAUGCUUUCAGGCUUUAACAUCGAAGAUAGCAACCUAAUCACCACAUGAUGUUUCUUCCCUACUCUGCCAAGCUUUACAAAAAAGGUCACAAUCAACAUUCAUUGCUGUCGGUGGGUUUAACUAUGUGGACAAGCUCACUGAACAAUGAAUGCAACUGUGGCCCCACAUUUUGCAGUUACUGAUGAGAGGAUCAGCUCUGAAAGCAGUAGUGAGUAGCAAAUACUCAUAGGCUACACUUUUCUGAUUUAAAAAAGUAGUUGGGAUAUCUACUUUUUGCUUGCUUGUUUUUAACUUAGCUGACUAGAAAGGAAAACCUGGUUUUGUCUGGAAUACUGUCCUCAAUAUUGAAACCAUAAAAACUGUUAUUCAGUAUGUACAUGGAAAUAAAAAUACAGGGAGCUUUGUGUGUAUCCACUCCUGAUGUCUCUGAGCACAAGAGGAUAGAAUAUUUAAAUGUUUUAACUAGGUAUUAUGAAAUAGUUCAAAAGUUCCUUCUAUGCUUGUCAUGACAAAUACAAAUGAGAGCCUGAGUUCAAAGAUACAGAUAGAAUGUUAUACCAAAUGAAGUAUUAAAUUUUAUGUGAAACUGAUUUUCAGCAUUUAAACACCAUUAGCAAAUAUUAUUACAUUUGCCUUUUUUUAAGGAUCUGAAAGAUGACAGAAAUAUAUAUCCAGAAAUAACAACGAAAGAGUAGUUAAAUUGUAAAAUCGCUGUAAACUUUAAGUAUCUAUGUCACACUCAGUAUUGCUAAUAGUAAUAAGAAAAUAAAAGUGUAAAUAAAGCUCAAAA